UACGUAGGUGGCAAGCGUUGUCCGGAUUUAUUGGGUUUAAAGGGUGCGUAGGCGGUCCUAUAAGUCAGUGCUGAAAUAUCCCGGCUUAACCGGGAGGGUGGCAUUGAUACUGCAGGACUUGAGUAAAGUUGAGGUAGGCGGAAUUGACGGUGUAGCGGUGAAAUGCUUAGAUAUCGUCAAGAACACCGAUAGUGUAGACAGCUUACUAAGCUUAACUGACGCUGAGGCACGAAAGUGUGGGGAUCAAACAGG
rnacentral:rRNA from 1 species